rnacentral:lncRNA from 1 species
GUUUUGGUUCCAAAUAAUCCAUAGUUAUAUCCAAAUAGCUGCGUUCGUUCUUGCGUUCAAGACACUAUUUCAAAAUAAAUCAAUUUUUAUGCGAUUUUUCUCGUAAAAUAGCGAUAACAUUCCAACCGGGAGACGUUGUAUCCGUUCAAACACUGAAAGUAGAAAAUGGUGUCGUCACAUGCACGCGUGCGCCAGUGUCAUUGUUCUCAGAACGACCACUUUCCAAAACCCCUACUGUUUUUCGCCCAGGGACUGCAGAGUUAUCAUUCCACGUUCUGGCGCCUUCUGAGAGCCUAUGGGAGCCUUAGAAAAUGUCACGUUACAGCAGAGAUCCUAUAUUUUUGAUAAAGAAGGCCAAGAAAUGGUCAGACAGGGCACUUCCCAUAUAGAAUCUUCUCAGGUUUUGGCCUGCCAUAUGAGUUCUGUUAUACUCACAGACACCAUUCAAACAGUUUUAGAAACGUUAGAGUGUUUUCUAUCCAAAUCAAACAAUUAUAUGCAUAUUCUAGUUUCUGGGCAGGAGUAAUAACCAGAUUAAAUCGGGUACGUUUUUUUAUCCGGCCGUGAAAAUACUGCCCCCUAUCCUAAACAGGUUAAAGUACGUCACCCAGUAAAUCCCUACUUGAGUAAAAGUCUAAAAGUAUUUGAUUUUAAAUUGACUUAAGUGUCAAAAGUAAAAUAAUAAAACAUUUCAAAAUCUUUUAAUUAAGCAAAGCAGACGGCACCAUUUUCUUGUUUUUUAAAUGUACAGAUGGCCAGGGGCACACUCCAACACUCAGACAUAAUUUACAAAUUAAGCAUGUGUUUAGGCAGUAAGGAUGACCAGGGCUAUUCUCUUGAUAAGUGCGUGAAUUGGAAAAUAUUCCUGUCCUGCUAAGCAUUCAAAAUUUUGGCUGGGCGACCAGCUCUAGGAAGAGUCUUGGUGGUUCUAAACUUCUUCCAUUUAAGAAUGAUGGAGGCCACUGUGUUCUUCGGGACCUUCCAUGCUUCGUACAUUAUUUGGAACCCUUCCCCAGAUCUACGCCUCGAUACAAUCCUGUCUCGGAUCUCUACGGACAAUUCCUUCGACCUCAAGGCUUGGUUUUUGACCUGAUAUGCACUGUCAACUGUGGAACCUUAUAUAGACAGGUGUGUACCUCUCCAAAUCAUGUCCAAUCAAUUGAAUUUACCACAGGUGGACUCCAAUCAAGUUGUCAAGGAUGAUCAGUCGAAACAGGAUGCACCCAAGGUCAAUUUUGAUUCUCAUAGUGGGGCGGCAGCGUAGCCUAGUGGUUAGAGUAUUGGACUAGUAUUGGACCAGUUAGGGGGAGUGAUGAGCUCUACAGCAGAGUCUCACAACUCAAUCGCUGGUUGAAAACUGUUUUCUGCCCCUCCCAAAAGAUAGAAUUUGUAGAUAAUUGGCCCUCUUUCUGGGACUCACCCACAAACAGGACCAAGCCUGGCCUGUUGAGGAGUGACGGACUCCAUCCUAGCUGGAGGGGUGCUCUCAUCUUAUCUACGAACAUAGACAGGGCUCUAACUCCUCUAGCUCCACAAUGAAAUAGGGUGCAGGCCAGGCAGCAGGCUGUUAGCCAGCCUGCCAGCUUAGUGGAGUCUGCCACUAGCACAGUCAGCGUAGUCAGCUCAGCUUUCCCCAUUGAGACGGUGUCUGUGCCUCGAUCUAGGUUGGGCAAAAUUAAAAAUGGCGGUGUUCGCUUUAGCAAUCUCACUAGUAUAAAGACCUCCUCCAUUCCUGCCAUUAUUGAAAGAGAUUGUGAUACCUCACAUCUCAAAAUUGGGUUACUUAAUGUUAGAUCCCUCACUUCCAAGGCAGUUAUAGUCAAUGAACUAAUCAC